rnacentral:rRNA from 1 species
AACGAACGCUGGCGGCAUGCCUAACACAUGCAAGUCGAACGAGACCUUCGGGUCUAGUGGCGCACGGGUGCGUAACGCGUGGGAACCUGCCCUUAGGUUCGGAAUAACUCCCCGAAAGGGGUGCUAAUACCGGAUAAUGUCUUCGGACCAACGAUUUAUCGCCUUUGGAUGGGCCCGCGUUGGAUUAGCUAGUUGGUAGGGUAAAAGCCUACCAAGGCGACGAUCCAUAGCUGGUCUGAGAGGAUGAUCAGCCACACUGGGACUGGGACACGGCCCAGACUCCUACGGGAGGCAGCAGUGGGGAAUAUUGGACAAUGGGCGAAAGCCUGAUCCAGCAAUGCCGCGUGAGUGAUGAAGGCCUUAGGGUUGUAAAGCUCUUUUACCCGGGAUGAUAAUGACAGUACCGGGAGAAUAAGCUCCGGCUAACUCCGUG